rnacentral:rRNA from 2 species
UUGGAGGGCAAGUCUGGUGCCAACAGCCGCGGUAAUUCCAGCUCCAAUAGCGUAUAUUAAAGUUGUUGCAGUUAAAAAGCUCGUAGUUGAAUUUCGGGGUCAGUAGGUUGGUCAUGCCACUGGUAUGUACUGGUCUCACUGAUUCCUCCUUCCUGAUGAGCCGUAAUGCCAUUAAUUUGGUGUUGCGAGGAAUCUGGACUGUUACUUUGAAAAAAUUAGAGUGUUUAAAGCAGGCUAACGCUUGAAUACAUUAGCAUGGAAUAAUGAAAUAGGACGUUCGAUCUUAUUUUGUUGGUUUCUAAGAUUGACGUAAUGAUUAAUAGGGAUAGUUGGGGGCAUUAGUAUUCAAUUGUCAGAGGUGAAAUUCUUGGAUUUAUUGAAGACUAACUACUGCGAAAGCAUUUGCCAAGGAUGUUUUCAUUAAUCAAGAACGAAAGUUAGGGGAUCGAAGACGAUCAGAUACCGUCGUAGUCUUAACCAUAAACUAUGCCGACUAGGGAUCGGAUGAUGUUAAUUUUUUAAUGACUCAUUCGGCGCCUUACGGGAAAC